GGGCAGAAUGAUAAAUAAGCAUAUUAUUGAGGGCAAAAUGGUCAUUAGAAUCAUCGGCUCUUCCAUCAUCUAUUUUUCUUUUUCUCUAGAAUCAUUGGCUCAUAUCUACAAGUUCAUCUCUAGAAUCAUCGGCUACCUCUUCAUCUUUUCAUUCGACCAUUACUAGGUCUUGCUAUCUAGAGUAGAGACAAAAGUCAAAGAAUUAUAGAAAUCAAUUAAACUUCUGAAGGAUACAAGUGUAAAGUUGGAGCUGAUCAUUGCAGACUGAUACAGUAGCAGCUAAAGGAGAAAUGAUACGAGAAAAGACAAAACUCAGGUUAGCAUAUCUGGCUACAUUGUUGUGUUUACUUCAUGACUAGAAUAUCUAGACAGGCUGGAUUUUGUGUUCAAUCUUAAUGGUUUAUACAAGCAAGUAGGCAAACAAAUCCAUAGUGACAUACAGUCAGCAUCCAAGAUAGAAAGGCAAGCUGCAGAUUUGCAAUUAAAAGGGAGAAGAUCAUAGAUAGAGAGAUAAUGAAUGUCAUCGAACUUGAGAUUAUGACCAGUAAGAAAGAACUCGAGAUUAUGACCAGCACAGAGAUCAUGACAAAGAUAGAGAGAGUUGGCAUAGACACAGGUCUCACUCAAAGGGUAGAUCUAACCAUAGAUCAAUAUCUUGAUCUCAUUUUCAAUCCAAGAGGAGCUGCUAUUGAUGGAGAUGCAGUACACACCGACAAAAAAAACACAAAGAGAAAAAGGGUGGUUCUUGGUCCAAGUAUAACCUUAAUGAAAUUUCUAAGUCACCUGUACCUCCAAAUAGAAUUAAGGGUCAUGACAAAGACCGUCAAAUUACUGGUAUGGACAGGGACAUGAAUCCUAGAGAUAUAGGGAAAAUAUGAGAUUUCUUGAGGGAGGAAGUCAGCUUGUUCCCGCUAAAGCAAGUAGAGUAGUCAGCUUUGUGUUAGUGUCAUCAAUCCGUUGUUGUUCUCAAAUAUCCCAGCUUUGCAACAUGUCACAAAUAUUAGAAAAAGGAUAGGAACUAUGCUUCUAUUUAUUCGCUGCCCUUUUCGAAGGUCCAUCUAUAAAGUUGUUGGAUCCAGAAGAUAUCUUCUUAAAAGUAGUGACUUCUUUUCUCUUAGGGAUCUCAUAGAUCUAUCCAAGGGAGUCUUUGCAGGUUAACCUGCAAAAUGAUACUUUAUAUUCGUGAUACUUGGACGCAUGUUCCAUCUUAUUUAAGUCUCAGCAAAUAUUGGACGUACGUGCCAUCUUAUUUAAGUCUCAGCAAAUCUUGUAUUUGUUAGUGAUCAUGUUUCUUUAAUAGUUCUGACUUUUUUUUCACGUGGCAAUAUUAUUGAGAAAACUGACUUAUGUUGGUCUUCUAGAUGGCUACCUCUUUAACUGCAGCUUUACCAGUUAUGGUCGAAACCAUCUCAAGAAAAAUUCUAGAGCAUAUAGCUGAGCAGUGCCUUAUAUGUUGUGAUGUGGGUAUACCCUACAAUGCUCGGCAAACCUGUGAUGACCCCUCUUAUCUUAUUUUACCUUUCCAGGAUAAUGCUGUGAAGAUUUGCAUGGAACAAGAUUUUCAUGGAGAGUGGUUCAAGGAAUUUUUGCAAGAGGUUACAAUUAUGAAGCAGUUGCGACAUUCGAAUAUUGUGCUUUUUAUGGGUGUUGUUACUCAGCGACCAAACUUGUCCCCAGUUACUGAGUAUUUAUCAAGGUAUUAUUCUGGUGAAACCCUACAAAUAAUUAGGCUUUUGAUUUUUUAGUUUAGCUGACAGUGCCUAUGUUGCAAUGUAUUUUAGAGGUAGCUUAUAUAGACUUAUUCAUAAUCCUGAUGCUAAGAAGGUUUUGAAUAGAAGACGUCAAUUUUCUAUGGCCUAUGAUGUGGUAUGGAUGUUUUACUACUCCGCCUUAUUUUAUUUUAUUAAAUCUGGGCCUAAUUUUAUCAUAUCAUCUUGUGCAGAUAAAGGGGAUGAAUUAUCUACAUAAGUGCAAUCCUCCCAUUGUUCAUAGAGAUUUAAAAUCUCCAAAGAUUUUAGUUGAUUGAGGAGGUUGACCAAGUUCAAAGGCAAAAAGCAAAGCUUAUUAUUGGUUUCGAGCUCUGCAAUUCUUUCACCUCCAAUGUUGUCAUUGAUUCACAGAUUGAUUUCUUUUUUUAAUUUAUUUAGGGUUGUCUAUAGAAUAUUUAAUUUGAUCUGACUUUGUCUCUUCAAGUUUUGAUAUUUACUUGUUUUGUCAAUUCGUUGAUUGUAUUAUUGAUUCGAAUGAUGCAUUAUAUCCUUUUAUUCUUAGUUUUCCAAUAGCAUGAUAUUGAUUUCUUUGAUACCCUAAUUUUCACCUUUCUCUACCUACUAAUUCUCUAUUAAUUAGUUUACUUUUGGUUCUCUCUUUCUUAUUUCAGUAGUUCGAAGAUCCAUUUGAAGUGCUUCAGAACUUUGUUCUAUGAAGAGGGUAUUGGAAAGUUUAUAUUGAGGGAACAUUUGCAUUUAGAACUGUCAAACUCAGAAUUUCUUGAUAGUGAGAUGGAUGAGGAUAUAUCCCGGCUGAAAACUACAACUGUUGGACUACUAAAUGACCUUGGUUGCAAAGGCUCUACCUUAUCAGAGGACCUUAUUAAUGAGAUGUGUCGAUAUGGUGCUUCAGAGCUUCAUGUUAUAGAUGCCUUCGUUGGAGGAGUUGCAUCAAAAGAAGUGAUUAAGAUUAUAUUUCUUUUGGAGCAUGUAAAGAGGAAAGUUUGCCGUGCCACACUUGAUUUGUAGGAAAUUUAGGAUUAGUGAAAGAGAUUAUUUAACCAGAGAAUAUUUCUAAGACUCUGGUCCAAUGGUAGCAGCACUAGCCACUAUGCGUGAUGUGUGGAUUAGGUGCAUGUCAUGAGUUUGAACAUGUUACGAACCAAAAUGAUAGUUUUAGCUAUUCUAGAAAUAGAUAAUAUAUGGUAUAAUCAGUUGAUUAGGGGUUGUUCAUUUUUUAUAUCCUAUUUUAUGUCAUUUUUCUUAACUUUAGGCUGCAAUUUGAUCCAACUAAUGCUCAUUUCUCAACCAUUUAAUACCUUCACGUAUUAAGCCCUAUAAUAUACUUGUAGUUUAAUUUGU